GUUGAGUGGACUGAGUGUGUGGGCGAGAGCGUGUGGCUGCCGUAUGAGGCACUUCGACAAAAAUAACAAGCUUCAACCUUCCCAGGGAGUGCAUUCAAAAAUUCUUUCCCUCCAGGACAUGCUUCACUUUCCCAUUUCCAACUGCUCCAGAGAAAAUGUCCACUCUGGAGAGCUUGAGUCCUGCUGACCUUUCCACUGAGUUCCUGGAGGUCACCAAACGUUUCUGUAAGUUUGUCUUUGACAAGAGCGAAGUGAAGCGACUGAAAGAUGGACACACGGUCACUGGCAGAGUUCUGGGUAAUCUAACAAAGAUGUACGUGAACACAAUCUCCAGUGGGGCUGUGCCUUGUCUGGAGAACGCAGUGAUUGCCAUGGCCCAGAUUGAGAAUGUGGCCGCAAGGCAGGAGGGUCUGCAGGUGUACCAGAAAUGAAUGGAGAAGGUUAAGUGCUCCUUCCCCCUGGAGCUGGAGGAAGUCUCCUCAGAGCACCAGCGCCUCACCAGCAUGGCUACGCAAGCCUUCAUGGCUCGAUCAUUCAAGGACACUGAUGGGAAGCACCUGAAGGUUCUUGAGCUACAAUGACUGAAAAACACAAGCAAGGCUUCUAUGCUAAACCUGGUGGCUAUGAUGUCUUCUGCAAAGAUCUGGAGGACAUUUUGAAGACGUACAAAAGCCAGGCUAAAAAGGAAGUCCAGGCCCAGCGCACCCGGGGCGCGGCUCAGCCAGGCGUCG